CUACAAUUCAACUACAACCGAUUCACAACGAAAGUAUUCUGAGGUGUUUUUAGUCACCGUCUAGGUUUCUAUUUUAAUCAGCAUUUCAACACACACAAACUUAUUGAGACACACAACUUACAAGUGUAAAAACAUGACCCCAACCCUCCUGCUGUAUUUUUACAAAAUACACCACACGUACAUUUAUUUUUUCACUUGCACAAACAAUUGAAUUUACACUAGUGUUUUGAAGCAAAUUCAACACAAUUCGAUUAAAUUAUAUUUACAGUAUAUGGCGCUUUUAACAAUGGACACUGUCACAAAGCAGCAAUACAGAAAUACAGGAUAUAGAUUUUAAAUGCAUCCAUGAGGAGCAAAGCACACUUGACUGUGGACAAGGGAAAAACUCCCAGAGACAACAUAUGGAAGAAUCCUUGAGAGGAACCAGACUCAAAAGGGAACCCAUCCUCAUCUGGGCGACACCGGAUGUUGCAUUUAUAAAUCAUUUCUCUGCAUGUUAAAAGGAACCAGAAUAAACAUAAAUAUGCCUUUUGUUCAGUAUCCCACAGAUUCAUAUUUUAACAAACUGUAAUAGCUGGCCCAACUUCAACCACCCCCACUUGCAUAUUCCAUUAGUGCAUAGGGAAAGCCAAAGGUGUGGCCUGGACAACUGCGCAGACGGGUUAUUUAUGUGCCACGCGUAUGAAUCACGCAUAUGAAUUGUAGGUUAUUGCUAAUCUGGGUGGGGGGGUUGUCAUGGAUUCUGGGAUUACGAAUAACUAACUUUUUCUCAUCCUCUAGUUGAAAACACUGUGUGUUUCAACUUUUAAGUGAAUAUCCUAAAGAGGCCCCAACCAAGAACACACAGAAAAGCGGAGACCACAACGCACUUUCAACAUCAAUUAAUAGCUUCCAUCUCCCUUUAAGAAGUAGAGCUUGAUGGGAACCCCAUUACUGAGAAGCUAACAACUGUACUAUAACUUGGGCCUUUUACUGUUAAACAUCGUUCAUCAUUGCCCUGAGAACAUGCCUCGUGUUUAAUUCUUCCACUAACAUCAUCCUCAGUGGCUGUUGAUGAUGAGAAAUACUCUUAUCACAUGAGUUAUUAGUCAUUACCUGUUUGGAGAAUUGUGUCAACGCUGCCAAUGUAUAACAACCACUAAUCAGGGAAUCACAUACCACUGCUUCGCCAGGCUGUAUUUAUCUUCCUGUACUGUUGAACUCUGCUGCUCUGCACUCAUUUCCUCUGAUGACAAGGAAAGUUACAGCAGUCCCCAAUCGCCAGUUUUUUCAGUUCGGUCAUACUAUUACAACGAAGUAAACCACUGGCUACAAUCCAGUCGAUGAAUAUGAUGAUUGUUUUCAUGUGCUGCCAGUGUGUUGCCUUGUUCUUGUUCUAGUCCCUGUAGUCCCAGAAGCCCUGCUGAGCUAACAAGAGACAGAAAAAAAAAAUCCCCCAGUGUCUUGCACUGUGGCUCCACUGGGAAUGCAGGACGGAAAGCCAAGGGCAGGAGAGGUCCAGGCUUGAACUACCAUACUUCCUCUCCUAUGGCUACUUUAUGAGAUAGACAAUUAGCAGACGCUUCUCAGUUGUGUGUCAAAGGACUAUUAACACAGAGGAGGGAGCUUUGGGGUUGGCAAACAUCUACUGACAGCCAAGUCAAUUACUGAGA
ensembl:lncRNA